AGAACGAACGCUGGCGGCAUGCCUAAUACAUGCAAGUCGAACGAACUCUUCGGAGUUAGUGGCGCACGGGUGCGUAACGCGUGGGAAUCUGCCCCUUGGUUCGGAAUAACAGUUGGAAACGACUGCUAAUACCGGAUGAUGACGAAAGUCCAAAGAUUUAUCGCCAAGGGAUGAGCCCGCGUAGGAUUAGCUAGUUGGUGAGGUAAAGGCUCACCAAGGCAACGAUCCUUAGCUGGUCUGAGAGGAUGACCAGCCACAUUGGGACUGAGACACGGCCCAAACUCCUACGGGAGGCAGCAGUGGGGAAUCUGCGCAAUGGGCGAAAGCCUGACGCAGCCAUGCCGCGUGAAUGAUGAAGUCUAGGAUUGUAAAUUCUUUCACGGGACAUAAUGACGGUACCCGGAGAAGAAGCCCGGACUAACUUCGUGCCCAGCAAGCCGC
rnacentral:rRNA from 1 species